CAGCCGCCGCGGUAAUACGGAGGGUGCAAGCGUUAAUCGGAAUUACUGGGCGUAAAGCGUGCGUAGGCGGUUCGUUAAGUCUGUUGUGAAGGCCCCGGGCUCAACCUGGGAAUGGCAAUGGAUACUGGCGAGCUAGAGUGUGUCAGAGGAUGGUGGAAUUCCCGGUGUAGCGGUGAAAUGCGUAGAGAUCGGGAGGAACAUCAGUGGCGAAGGCGGCCAUCUGGGACAACACUGACGCUGAGGCACGAAAGCGUGGGGAGCAAACAGGAUUAGAUACCCCCGUAGUCCUGUCUCUUAUACA
rnacentral:rRNA from 1 species